AUGGGUCUCAAGGAGGAGCUCAGAUCAUCAGUGGAGUUGCAAAUUCCAUCAAGUGUCCAAUUGGCAGCUUUAUAUGCUUCUGUUCAGGAGGGUUUACUACUGCAACAGAAAUCCACCAAAUCAAGUUUCAUCAAGACAUCAUAUGCUAAGUCUGACAACAAAUCGAGUCUGGCUACUGGAGAACUGUGGAAAGCCAAACAGCUUAAGGAAUAUCGCAGAGCCAAUGGGCUGUGUUAUAAAUGUGGGGAGAAAUUUUCCCCUGGCCAUAUGUGCAAUCAGGCUCCGGCUCCUAGAGCUCAACUGAAGGCAGCUGAACUAGUGGAUCCCCAUGAAAUAAUUUCAGAUGAUGUACUUGAUGCUUUAGUACAAGGUGAUCAGCAGGAGUGUGCAACCAUUUCAGCUACAGCAUUGUCAGGUGUUGCUCAUCCAAAGACAAUACAGUUGAGAGCUUUAGUGGCUAACAAGGUGGUGUUGAUCUUAGUGGACUCAGGCAGCACCCAUACGUUCGUGGAUCAGGCUUUACUGAGCAAGAUUUCAGUUCCAACUGAGAAACUACAACAUCCAAUGCAGGUCAGAGUUGCUAAUGGGCAUACCAUUCAGUGUACUGAAGUGGCACCUAAAGUAACUUGGUGGAUGCAGGGGCAUAGUUUCACUAAUGCUAUGCAGGUACUUCCUUUAGGAGGUCAUGACAUCAUUCUGGGUAUGGAUUGGCUGGAACAGUGGGGUGUCAUGCAAUGUCACUGGGCUAACAAAUGGAUUCAGUUUCAAUAUGAAGGGCAGACAGUGAGAUUACAAGGUGUACUGCCUGUCAAACAAGAGGAAAUUACAGAGGUGUCUGCUGAUCAACUGCUGAAAUGGGAAAAAGGAAAUGAGGUGUGGGCUACUGCUUUACUGAACAGAAUAGUAAUGGCACCUGAAACUGAAAUUCCAACUGAAGUUCAGCAAGUGUUGGAUAGAAACAAAGAAGUAUUUCAAGAACCUACCGGUUUACCACCUCACAGAGUGUUUGAUCACACUAUCAACUUACUACCAAACACUGUGCCUGUAAACUGCAGACCCUACAGAUACCCCCUCUACAGAAAGAUGAGAUUGAAAGACAAGUGA
rnacentral:rRNA from 1 species